rnacentral:lncRNA from 1 species
CUCCGCCGCGGGCUCUGCCCGCUCGCCUGCUCGCCUGGUGGGGGAGAGGGGAGCGGGGCCGACACAGGACUGCAGUUGACAGCAGAUAACUGAAAGCUCGGAAAGCGAAACCGUGGAUAAGCAGGGGAACUGUGGCAUCCCAUUUAAAAUUGCUUCUGAAGAGAAGCAUGAGGUUACAUCUGUAAUCUCCCUGCAGCAGAGUCAACUGCAUAAGAAACCAAAAGACACACCUGCUCCAUGCCAGCCUAAGCCACCACAUAAAAAGUCAGACCAUCUGCUGGAAGAACCACAUGGAGAGGCCCUGAGUCAACAUGGAGAGGAAGAAGGACUUGACUGAAUCCAGCCUUCCAGCUGUCCCUACCAAGGUGCCAGGCAUGAGAAUGAAGCUGUCUUGAACUCUGAAGACCAGCUUAGCCACCAGGCAGGAGAGCUGGGCAUCUAUGAGUGGGGACCCCAGGGGGACCUGCAAUCACCAGACUCACCUUCCAGAGCAGCACGGCCAGCAGCAGGAAGAUGAGGAUUCCCACCAACAAACUGAUGGCGAUGAUCCACCCCACGACGUAGCCACGGGGCUCCAGAUUGUGCAGGGCCUCGAAGACCACCUAGGAGGCAACGCAACAGUGAAAACAUUUCCUUUUUUAUUUUUUUUUUGAGACAGAGUCUUGUUCUGUCACCCAGGCUGGAGUGCAAUGGCACAAUCUCGGCUCACUGCAACCUCUACCUCCUGGGUUCAAGCGAUUCUCCUGCCUUAGCCUCCCAAGUAGCUGGGAUUACAGGUGCCUGGCUAAUGUUUUGUAUUUUUAGUAGAGACAGGGUUUCACCAUGUUGGCUAGGCUGGUCUCGAACUCCUGACCUCAGGUGAUCCACCCACCUCGGCCUCCCAAAGUUUUGGGAUUACAGGCACGAGCCACAGUGCCAGCUGAAAACGUUUCCUAAACAGAAGUGCGCAGAGCAUGAUGGAGCCCAGCCUGGGCUUGACAUUUGGAGAGAACUACAGAGAAGUAUCCAGACUGUUGUUACUAAUAAAUAAAUACAUAAGC